ensembl:lncRNA
CCGGGCGCGGUGGCGGCGGCGGCGGCGGCGACAGCAGCGACGCGGCCGGGCUCGGCCAAGGAAGUUAGAGCAAGUUCGGCGGCGCGGGGCGGUAGGGCGCGACUCAGGCCGUCCGAGCGCGGGGGCGGGGCGCGGAGGGCGGGGCCGGGGGCGCGGCGCCGGGUGGCUGCUGAGAAAGGGGCGCCGCUUCCCUGGGCCUCCCGGCGCGGCGCCGCCCUCCGCGCCCGGCCCCCGCCUAUAGCCCCGCCCCCGCCCCGCCCCUCCCGGCCUUCCAGUCCGCGCCCGGGCUGAGCCCGCGGGGCCCCGGGCCCCUUCGAACCAGUCUGGGCGGGGCGGGAGGCGAAGGCGGCCCUGGUCGGCGCUCGCCGGGUGGGUUCGUGGCGCAGGCCUAGGCGGGACCCGCACCCCGCGUUUGGGGCCUCCGCAAUAUGCGGACGCCACGUCGGCGUUGUCACUGACCCAACCGGAACCCAGCCUCCUUGAGAGCGCGAGCUCUGGGGGCCACGUUUCGCGGCGGGGCACGACGAGGGUGACCGGGUAGAGAGGGGUAUGCAGCCAGCCUCUGACACCCAGACAGCUCAGAGACCUUGGAGAACUGCCCAUCCGUUCAUCUAGAGGAGAUAGUGGGUGUUUGAUUGAGUGCCCGGCCCUGAUUUGAUGCUCAGGAUACAGCCAUAAACAAGACAGCGGAAGCCUCUUACUCCAUAAAGCUGAUUUUUGGUGAUGGAGACAUAAUUGCAAGUUGAAGUAAAUGCUGGGAGAAGAACAAGGGACUGGGUUAGAAGAUAGGAGCCAUUAAUUCUUUAGGUGGAGCCAGCAGGAAAAAUGUCUUUGAGGAGUUGAUGUUGGAAUUCAAGUCAAGAGAAUGAGGAGAUAGUGCUGGGAAAAGCCAGGGAGAGAAAUUCUCCCAAAUCAAAAACAGCUUGUGCCAAGGUCCUGAGAAAGACUUUCCAAUUCUAGCUGGCCACACAGCUCCCUUGACUAAAACCAAGUUUCUAGGACUCCCUCAGGGCUCCGCAUGAUCACAUGACUCAGUUCUAGCCAACAGGAAGUAAAUGGAGGUG